UACGGAGGGGGCUAGCGUUGUUCGGAAUUACUGGGCGUAAAGCGCACGUAGGCGGAUUGUUAAGUCGGGGGUGAAAUCCCGGGGCUCAACCCCGGAACUGCCUUCGAUACUGGCGAUCUUGAGGUCGGGAGAGGUGAGUGGAAUGGCGAGUGUAGAGGUGAAAUUCGUAGAUAUUCGCCGGAACACCAGUGGCGAAGGCGGCUCACUGGCCCGAUACUGACGCUGAGGUGCGAAAGCGUGGGGAGCAAACAGG
rnacentral:rRNA from 1 species